AUCCCUUUCAAUUUGACCCUCUAGAGAGCAGUGACUCGGAUAUUGCGGCCGGCGACGGCAAGAACGAACCUGAACAAAACCCUCGCAUCGGCCACGUUCAAUGGUGCCAAUGUGGACACUGCAGGGCAAUGGAGACGCAGCUCGAGUCAGUGUGCUGCACAGAGCUCGACCGUGUGGACGCACUUCAGGGCAAUGAGGCAUGCAUCACAAGCCACCCCACCUUUGUUCAGGCUUGCCUGAACGUGCAUGCCCUUGAAGUGGCGUAUUACGCCCUCAUGAAAGACCGUCCGGCACUUGUAUAGGCCCCGGAAAUCCACAGGCGGUACAGAUACACUGCAUACCGCCAAUUUGCACGGUGGGUGUGGCAUCGGCUGGGACGGGGCAACAGGAAGGUGCUGCCCAGCUGUGUCGCUACUGCUGUGAGGGACGCCUUCC
rnacentral:lncRNA from 1 species